UACGAAAGGAGCAGGUGUUAUUCAGAUUAACUGGGCGUAAAGGGCACGUUAGGUGGUUUGUUUAUGUGUAUUAUUAAAUUGUAAAGCAUAACUUUAUAACGUAUUACAGACAACAAAACUAGAGUUAGGUAGAGGGUAGUAGAAUUUCUAAUGUAAAGGUGAAAUUUGAUAAAAUUAGAGAGAAUACCAAUGGCGUAAGCA
rnacentral:rRNA from 1 species